rnacentral:tRNA from 1 species
GACGAAAUAGUUUAAGGAAAAUAUCUAUCUUACACGUAGGGGUUGGCUGGUGUGUCUAUCGUC